UACAGAGGGUGCAAGCGUUAUUCGGAAUCACUGGGCGUAAAGGGCGUGUAGGCGGUUUGGUAAGUCUGAUGUGAAAGCCCCGGUCUCAAAUCGGGAAGUGCAUCGGAUACUGCUAAACUAGAGUGCAGGAGAGGAGAUCGGAAUUCCAGGUGUAGAGGUGAAAUUCGUAGAUAUCUGGAGGAACAACAGUGGCGAAGGCGGAUCUCUGGACUGUUACUGACGCUGAGGCGCGAAAGCGUGGGGAGCAAACAGG
rnacentral:rRNA from 1 species